rnacentral:rRNA from 1 species
AUAUGGUAGUUUUUUCAGAUAAUCGAAUGACUUGGAAAAGUCAGUCAAAGAGGGUAAAAACCCCGUAGAUGAAAUUUGGAAGACACCUAGGAGGAUCCUGAGUACGGCGGAACACGAGGAAUUCCGUCGGAAUCCGGGAGGACCAUCUCCCAAGGCUAAAUACUCCCUAGUGACCGAUAGUGAACCAGUACCGUGAGGGAAAGGUGAAAAGCACCCCGGAAGGGGAGUGAAAUAGAACCUGAAACCGUGUGCCUACAACAAGUCAAAGCCCGUUAAUGGGUGAUGGCGUGCCUUUUGUAGAAUGAACCGGCGAGUUACGAUUGCAUGCGAGGUUAAGUCGAAGAGACGGAGCCGUAGCGAAAGCGAGUCUGAAUAGGGCGUUUGAGUAUGUAGUCGUAGACCCGAAACCAUGUGAUCUACCCAUGUCCAGGUUGAAGGUGCGGUAAAACGCACUGGAGGACCGAACCCACGUACGUUGAAAAGUGCGGGGAUGAGGUGUGGGUAGCGGAGAAAUUCCAAACGAACUUGGAGAUAGCUGGUUCUCUCCGAAAUAGCUUUAGGGCUAGCCUCGGAAUUGAGAAUGAUGGAGGUAGAGCACUGUUUGGACUAGGGGCCCAUCUCGGGUUACCGAAUUCAGAUAAACUCCGAAUGCCAUUCAUUCAUAUCCGGGAGUCAGACUGUGAGUGAUAAGAUCCAUAGUCGAAAGGGAAACAGCCCAGACCACCAGCUAAGGUCCCAAAAUAUAUGUUAAGUGGAAAAGGAUGUGGGGUUGCACAGACAACUAGGAUGUUGGCUCAGAAGCAGCCACCAUUUAAAGAGUGCGUAAUAGCUCACUAGUCGAGUGACCCUGCGCCGAAAAUGUACCGGGGCUAAACAUAUUACCGAAGCUGUGGAUAACACCUAUGGUGUUAUGGUAGGAGAGCGUUCUAAGGGCGUUGAAGGUAGAUCGUGAGGACUGCUGGAGCGCUUAGAAGUGAGAAUGCCGGUAUGAGUAGCGAAAGACAGGUGAGAAUCCUGUCCACCGAAUGACUAAGGUUUCCUGGGGAAGGCUCGUCCGCCCAGGGUUAGUCGGGACCUAAGCCGAGGCCGAAAGGCGUAGGCGAUGGAUAACAGGUUGAUAUUCCUGUACCCGUUGUUUUUGUUUGAGCAANNNNNNNNNNNNNNNNNNNNNNNNNNNNNNNNNNNNNNNNNNNNNNNNNNNNNNNNNNNNNNNNNNNNNNNNNNNNNNNNNNNNNNNNNNNNNNAGCAAUGGAGGGACGCAGGAGGCUAAGGAAUGCAGACGAUUGGAAAUGUCUGUCCAAGCAGUAAGUCUUAGGUUGAGUCAAAUGCUUAAUCUUUUAAGGACAAGCUGUGAUGGGGAGGGAAAUAAUAGUACCGAAGUUCCUGAUGUCACACUGCCAAGAAAAGCUUCUAGUGAGAAAACAACGGCCCGUACCGCAAACCGACACAGGUAGUCGAGGAGAGAAUCCUAAGGUGAGCGAGAGAACUCUCGUUAAGGAACUCGGCAAAAUGACCCCGUAACUUCGGGAGAAGGGGUGCUGAUCGUCAGAUCAGCCGCAGUGAAUAGGCCCAAGCGACUGUUUAUCAAAAACACAGGUCUCUGCAAAAUCGUAAGAUGAAGUAUAGGGGCUGACGCCUGCCCGGUGCUGGAAGGUUAAGAGGAGUGCUUAGCGUAAGCGAAGGUACGAAUUGAAGCCCCAGUAAACGGCGGCCGUAACUAUAACGGUCCUAAGGUAGCGAAAUUCCUUGUCGGGUAAGUUCCGACCCGCACGAAAGGCGUAACGAUUUGGGCACUGUCUCAACGAGAGACUCGGUGAAAUUUUAGUACCUGUGAAGAUGCAGGUUACCCGCGACAGGACGGAAAGACCCCAUGGAGCUUUACUGUAGUUUGAUAUUGAGUGUCUGUACCGCAUGUACAGGAUAGGUAGGAGCCGUAGAAAUCGGAACGCUAGUUUCGAUGGAGGCGCUGGUGGGAUACUACCCCUGCGUUAUGGCCACUCUAACCCGCACCACUAAUCGUGGUGGGAGACAGUGUCAGAUGGGCAGUUUGACUGGGGCGGUCGCCUCCUAAAAGGUAACGGAGGCGCCCAAAGGUUCCCUCAGAAUGGUUGGAAAUCAUUCGAAGAGUGUAAAGGCAGAAGGGAGCUUGACUGCGAGACCAACAAGUCGAGCAGGGACGAAAGUCGGGCUUAGUGAUCCGGUGGUUCCGCAUGGAAGGGCCAUCGCUCAACGGAUAAAAGCUACCCUGGGGAUAACAGGCUUAUCUCCCCCAAGAGUCCACAUCGACGGGGAGGUUUGGCACCUCGAUGUCGGCUCGUCGCAUCCUGGGGCUGUAGUCGGUCCCAAGGGUUGGGCUGUUCGCCCAUUAAAGCGGCACGCGAGCUGGGUUCAGAACGUCGUGAGACAGUUCGGUCCCUAUCCGUCGCGGGCGUUGGAAAUUUGAGAGGAGCUGUCCUUAGUACGAGAGGACCGGGAUGGACUUACCGCUGGUGUACCAGUUGUUCUGCCAAGGGCAUUGCUGGGUAGCUAUGUAGGGAAGGGAUAAACGCUGAAAGCAUCUAAGUGUGAAGCCCACCUCAAGAUGAGAUUUCCCAUUUCUUUAAGAAAGUAAGAUCCCUGAGAGAUGAUCAGGUAGAUAGGUCAGAAGUGGAAGUACAGUGAUGUAUGGAGCGGACUGAUACUAAUCGAUCGAGGACUUAACCAA